CAGGAAAUUGCAAAAAAAGAAGCAUAAAAGGGUUAGGUUAUAAAGAACACACCUUUUCUAGGUUUUCUUACAUUCUGUGAUCCCUCCUAGAACUUGCAUAGCCAACAACAACAUCUUCAACAUCACAGAGGUUUUUUUAUGCAUCUUCUGCUCUUACAGUUAAGUUACUCUCAAUUCUUUCAUUACAGAGGCUAGAUUAGGGUCUUGACUUCUUUUAGAAACGGCCUUUCUUUACCACUGAGAUUAGAUCAGAGUCAUGUCUGCCUUUGAGAUAGGGAAAUUUAAAGGUUUAUUUCACAAGAACUUUAAGAAGAAGAUAGAGAUAUGAGAUUUAGGAUGAAAAAUUAUUUUCAAAGCCUUUGCCUGUUCUUUCUUGAAAAACAAAAGGUG
rnacentral:lncRNA from 1 species